UCUCUGAGAUCUACUGAAAUAGAUCAGUGAUGAAAAUAGCCAAAUCUGAGCAUCAGAAGGCCUUUUGGUCUGGGGCAUGAUCUCUCUAGUUCUGAGAAGCAAAACUACAAAGCGGUUUGUCUGUGGUGAGAGAAGGAAGAGUGGUGUAUGGAUGGAUGGAUGAGGGUGUGUACAUAUCUGUGUGUGUGUGUGUGUGUGUGUGUGUGUGUGUGUGUGUGGUCAUCUCUGAGCAAUGAUGAAAAGGUUUUAGUACUGAAUUUUGUCACUGUGAAGGCUCCUACACUUGACCUGAGCUCA
rnacentral:snoRNA from 1 species